ensembl:lncRNA
CAUAGCAUUCCUAGGCAUUGAAUGUUAUUUUUAAAGAGGGGAAAAAGAGAACAAAGUCCUGAGUGUUUUUGGCUUUACAACAGAAAAAGAAUCUUGUAUUGGUACUGAAGUUCUUCCCUUGGAACUACCACUACUUUAUGCAUUUCUCCCUUCCUUUGAAAGAUGCACAUUCUCUGUCACAUAACUGGAAACAUUCCUGCAAUGUAUGCAAUUUUAUGUGAUAAAAAUACAGCUGGAUGCUGUGAAGAAUGCAUGCCAAAAGCAACAUCUUGUAUUUGAAAUUUAAUUAUUUGGAUAUGCGUAUUUUAUAUUUGGGGAGGGAGGGGUUCAAUGUCUGAAAAUAUCGGAGAAAAUAAAAUUCAUUUCAUUCCUAG